GCGGGAGUAGCUCAGUGGUAGAGCAUCAGCCUUCCAAGCUGAGGGUCGCGGGUUCGAAUCUCGUCUCCCGCU
rnacentral:tRNA from 2 species